UUCAACUCUCUAUAACUUCUUCAUCCGAACUCCAAAUUCAUCAAACAAUAUAAGAAUAGUAUAGCCAAAAGAGUUUUCUCUUCAAUUCUAGUGAAUAAUAUUUUUACUAUUUUUAAAUGUAAUUUGUGCUCUAAAAAGUAAUAGUGGAUACAAAAUUGACACCUUAACUUUGAGUGCCAAUAAUGCCUUCAUAAAAACUCCAAAUUA
rnacentral:lncRNA from 1 species